CAUAUGUGUGAAACCAAUUUGCCAAUCUUCCCUGGGUCAUUGUCCCCUGGACUGGUGAUUGACAUACCUCAGAGGUCUCAGAUGUCCCUUGGACCAUCACAUCCACCAAACUGGGUAAAUCUUGCAGUGGAAGGAAAGACUCCAGCUGACCCCUGAGUCCCACAAGUGCCUCCAACUGAUCCCUGAGAAGGACCAGAAGGUCAUCACUCUCCUGACACCUCUACUGCCUCACUCUGGGACUGAACCACACUGCCUCCACCCCAUUCCUCUCCUCUCUUCUCCCCACAGGAUGCCCACACAGUCCCCAGUGAUGCUGGAAAAAGUCAUGAGAAACU